rnacentral:tRNA from 1 species
CGGGGCGUGGCGCAGUCUGGCUAGCGCGGCUGCUUUGGGAGCAGUAGGACGGAGGUUCAAAUCCUCUCGCCCCGACCA